rnacentral:rRNA from 1 species
CGGGGUGCACCAGGCGCGAAAACUUUACAAUGCUGGCAACAGCGAUAAGGGGACCUUGAGUGCCAGGAUACAAUCCUGGCUGUCGUGAUGCCUAAAAAGCAUUAUAUAGCAAGGGCCGGGCAAGACCGGUGCCAGCCGCCGCGGUAACACCGGCGGCUCGAGUGGUAACCGCUAUUAUUGGGUCUAAAGGGUCUGUAGCCGGCUUGGUUAGUCUCUUGGGAAAUCCGGCAGCUUAACUGUCGGGCUUUCAGGAGAUACUGCCAGGCUCGAGACCGGGAGAGGUGAGAGGUACUUCAUGGGUAGGGGUGAAAUCUUGUAAUCCUUGAAGGACCACCAGUGGCGAAGGCGUCUCACCAGAACGGAUCUGACGGCAAGGGACGAAAGCUAGGGGCACGAACCGGAUUAGAUACCCGGGUAGUCCUAGCCGUAAACGAUACUCGCUAGGUGUCGGCCACGGUGCGACCGUGGUCGGUGCCGUAGGGAAGCCGUGAAGCGAGCCACCUGGGAAGUACGGCCGCAAGGCUGAAACUUAAAGGAAUUGGCGGGGGAG